AAUUUUGGACAAUGGGGGCAACCCUGAUCCAGCCAUCCCGCGUGUGCGAUGAAGGCCNNNGGGUUNUCAAGCACUUUUGGCAGNGAANAAAAGGCUCUGGCUAAUACCUGGAGCUGCUGACGGUACCUGCAGAAUAAGCACCGGCUAACUACGUGCCAGCAGCCGCGGUAAUACGUAGGGUGCAAGCGUUAAUCGGAAUUACUGGGCGUAAAGCGGGCGCAGGCGGUUCCGGCAGGAAGAUGGUGAAACCCCGGGCUUAAACCUGGGACUGCAUUCUUAACUGCCGGGCUAGAGUAAGUCAGAGGGGGGUAGAAUUCCGCGUGUAGCAGUGGAAUGCGUAGGGGUGCGGAGGAAUACCGAUUGCGAAGGCAGCCCCCUGGGAUAAUACUUACGCUCAUGCACGAAAGCGUGGGGAGCAAAC
rnacentral:rRNA from 1 species